UACGGAAUGUGCAAACGUUAUUCGGAAUCACUGGGCUUAAAGAGUCCGUAGGCGGCUUGUUAGGUGAGGUGUGAAAUCCCCCGGCUCAACCGAGGAAUUGCGCUUCAAACCGGCGAGCUUGAGGAAGGUAGAGGUGGGCGGAACUGAUGGUGGAGCGGUGAAAUGCGUUGAUAUCAUCAGGAACACCGGAGGCGAAGGCGGCCCACUGGGUCUUUUCUGACGCUGAGGGACGAAAGCUAGGGUAGCGAACGGG
rnacentral:rRNA from 1 species